rnacentral:rRNA from 1 species
CGCGUAGGCGGUCAGCACAAGUCAGUUGUGAAAUCUCCGGGCUUAACUCGGAAAGGUCAACUGAUACUGUGCGACUAGAGUGCAGAAGGGGCAACUGGAAUUCUCGGUGUAGCGGUGAAAUGCGUAGAUAUCGAGAGGAACACCUGCGGCGAAGGCGGGUUGCUGGGCUGACACUGACGCUGAAGUGCGAAAGCAGGGAGCGACG